rnacentral:rRNA from 1 species
UUUGAUCCUGGCUCAGAUUGAACGCUGGCGGCAUGCCUUACACAUGCAAGUCGAACGGCAGCGCGGGAGCAAUCCUGGCGGCGAGUGGCGAACGGGUGAGUAAUACAUCGGAACGUGCCCAAUCGUGGGGGAUAACGCAGCGAAAGCUGUGCUAAUACCGCAUACGAUCUACGGAUGAAAGCAGGGGAUCGCAAGACCUUGCGCGAAUGGAGCGGCCGAUGGCAGAUUAGGUAGUUGGUGAGGUAAAGGCUCACCAAGCCUUCGAUCUGUAGCUGGUCUGAGAGGACGACCAGCCACACUGGGACUGAGACACGGCCCAGACUCCUACGGGAGGCAGCAGUGGGGAAUUUUGGGCAAUGGGCGAAAGCCUGAUCCAGCCAUGCCGCGUGCAGGAUGAAGGCCUUCGGGUUGUAAACUGCUUUUGUACGGAACGAAACAGCCUUUUCUAAUAAAGGGGGCUAAUGACGGUACCGUAAGAAUAAGCACCGGCUAACUACGUGCCAGCAGCCGCGGUAAUACGUAGGGUGCAAGCGUUAAUCGGAAUUACUGGGCGUAAAGCGUGCGCAGGCGGUUAUGUAAGACAGUUGUGAAAUCCCCGGGCUCAACCUGGGAACUGCAUCUGUGACUGCAUAGCUAGAGUACGGUAGAGGGGGAUGGAAUUCCGCGUGUAGCAGUGAAAUGCGUAGAUAUGCGGAGGAACACCGAUGGCGAAGGCAAUCCCCUGGACCUGUACUGACGCUCAUGCACGAAAGCGUGGGGAGCAAACAGGAUUAGAUACCCUGGUAGUCCACGCCCUAAACGAUGUCAACUGGUUGUUGGGUCUUCACUGACUCAGUAACGAAGCUAACGCGUGAAGUUGACCGCCUGGGGAGUGCGGCCGCAAGGUUGAAACUCAAAGGAAUUGACGGGGACCCGCACAAGCGGUGGAUGAUGUGGUUUAAUUCGAUGCAACGCGAAAAACCUUACCCACCUUUGACAUGUACGGAAUUCGCCAGAGAUGGCUUAGUGCUCGAAAGAGAACCGUAACACAGGUGCUGCAUGGCUGUCGUCAGCUCGUGUCGCGAGAUGUUGGGUUAAGUCCCGCAACGAGCGCAACCCUUGUCAUUAGUUGCUACAUUUAGUUGGGCACUCUAAUGAGACUGCCGGUGACAAACCGGAGGAAGGUGGGGAUGACGUCAAGUCCUCAUGGCCCUUAUAGGUGGGGCUACACACGUCAUACAAUGGCUGGUACAAAGGGUUGCCAACCCGCGAGGGGGAGCUAAUCCCAUAAAACCAGUCGUAGUCCGGAUCGCAGUCUGCAACUCGACUGCGUGAAGUCGGAAUCGCUAGUAAUCGUGGAUCAGAAUGUCACGGUGAAUACGUUCCCGGGUCUUGUACACACCGCCCGUCACACCAUGGGAGCGGGUUCUGCCAGAAGUAGUUAGCUUAACCGAAGGAGGGCGAUUACCACGGCAGGGCUCGUGACUGGGGUGAAGUCGUAACAAGGUA